GACGAACCGAGCGAACGUUGUUCGGAAUCACUGGGCUUAAAGGGCGCGUAGGCGGGUGCUCAAGUCCGGGGUGAAAUCCUCCAGCUCAACUGGAGAACUGCCUCGGAUACUGGGCGUCUCGAGUGUGGUAGGGGUGUGCGGAACUAUCGGUGGAGCGGUGAAAUGCGUUGAUAUCGAUAGGAACUCCGGUGGCGAAGGCGGGUCUCUGGGCCAUAACUGACGCUGAGGAGCGAAAGCGUGGGGAGCGAACAGG
rnacentral:rRNA from 1 species